rnacentral:rRNA from 1 species
AACGAACGCUGGCGGCAUGCCUAACACAUGCAAGUCGAACGAGACCUUCGGGUCUAGUGGCGCACGGGUGCGUAACGCGUGGGAACCUGCCCUUAGGUUCGGAAUAACUCCCCGAAAGGGGUGCUAAUACCGGAUAAUGUCUUCGGACCAAAGAUUUAUCGCCUUUGGAUGGGCCCGCGUUGGAUUAGCUAGUUGGUAGGGUAAAAGCCUACCAAGGCGACGAUCCAUAGCUGGUAUGAGAGGAUGAUCAGCCACACUGGGACUGAGACACGGCCCAGACUCCUACGGGAGGCAGCAGUGGGGAAUAUUGGACAAUGGGCGAAAGCCUGAUCCAGCAAUGCCGCGUGAGUGAUGAAGGCCUUAGGGUUGUAAAGCUCUUUUAACCGGGAUGAUAAUGACAGUACCGGGAGAAUAAGCUCCGGCUAACUCCGUG